rnacentral:SRP_RNA from 1 species
CCUGUAGUCCCAGUUACUGGGGAGGCUGAGGUGGGAGGAUCACUUGAGCCCAGGAGUUCUGGGCUGCAGUGCACUAUGCCAAGCAGGUGUCUGCACUAAGUUCAGCAUCAACAUGGUGACCUCCCAGGAGCGGGGGACCACCAGGUUGCCUGAGGAGGGGUGAACCAGCCCAGGCUGGAAACAAGCAGGUCAAAACUUCUGUGCUGAUCAGUAGUGGGAUCGCGCCUAUGAAUAGCCACUGCACUUCAACCUGGGCAAUAUAGCAAGGCCCCCGUAUCUU